CCUUUGCUUCCUGGCUCCAGGGGGUCAGCAGCUUCCCCAGUGGCCGUGAUGUUCAGUGCCACCAUAGGCCCAAAGCAACAGGACCAACCGACUGGACUGAAACCAGGACCCAAAAUAAAACUUUCCGCCUUGUAAGGCAUCUCGCCAGUGACGGAAAGCCAGCCGAAGCACCGUGCACCCCGACUGUCCAGCCAGAGCCGUGGGUGUGUAGGCAGGGGCGGGCACUGGCUUAUGGAAUGGCACGGGGGACAGGAAAUGCCAUUCCUUCAGGUUAGUGUGAGGUCGCAGGUUCGGGGAUUGGCAGAGCAACAGAUGCCACCUUAUGGAACCGAAGUGCGAGGACCAGGCUCACUACGCACUGGGCUUCCAUGCUUGAAGGUCGUGGGCGCUCCUGCGGGGUACCACGUUCAUCAAUCAACAAAGCAGCCAUGCGCUCAGCUCCACUCCUGGAGCUCAGUGGGACCAAUGACCUGGACAGCCAAAGAGACAGGACGACGGUGACACCAGGGAACUGAAAGCCAACACGGAACUCCCGCACUCCUGUACACAACUGAAGAGGCUCGCUGUCAGACGUCUGUGCCACUGGCAAAGCCCGUGCGGGGAACAGACGGAGUGAAAACCAAAGCAGCAAAAUAAAGAGUCUGUAACAUUGUCCCUGCAAACCCCUGGACGCUCACUGCUGUGACCAAGCCUAGUCCAAGCUUCUGCCUGUUUGUAAUUAGUUAACGCCCAUCUGUUCCCUUUAAUUAAAGGGAUAAUUAUAUAUAACUUUUUAUUAAAAAAUCAACUCUGUAUUCUGUCAAUAGCCGGUAGGAAUUCACAAUUAGUGACGUGGCUGGAAAAAAUAGAUCAGAAUAGUAGUUUGUGGAAGGAAAAAAAGGCUGUUCUAAAAUUAUUUAUUUACAGACAUAAAAAGCCAUGCUGCAGAGCUUUCUCAAAUUAUGAAGAUUUCCUACAAUGUAUUAAAAUAAAAGAUUUUUUAAAAAUUAUAGCUCUUGGAUUCCAAACUCAUAUGCCACCUCUCUGCAAGCCCUGCGGGUUCUGGAACCCACAUAUCCAUCGUGUCUGCACGCACAGUGAAGGGUGUGAACGGAUUCUAGCACCUACUGAGAAAUCAAGGGAAGAAAACUAAAGCCAAACCCCAAGACUGCAGGGAGGUUUUCUGGAUACUCAGUCCAGUCCAGGACUCACUAAAUUUCUGGGGCACUGUCAUGCAGGGAGACCCGAACUGGUCUCAGGGAAUCCUUUCGACAAACGAACACUAUUAUGCAGAUACAUUUUAGUUGCGGGGUUUUUAAAUAUAUAACGAAAUCUUUAGAAGAUACUCUUUUUGCUUUUGUAGCUCCUAUUGUAAGUAAAAAGUCCUGUUUCUCCCCCCAAGAACUGGGGUUUCCACA